rnacentral:rRNA from 1 species
GACGAACGCUGGCGGCGUGCCUAAUACAUGCAAGUCGAACGCAGUGGGGACGGGUGAGUAACAACUGGGCAACCUGCCAUAAGAGGGGAGAACCCUUGGAAACAGGUGCUAAAACCGAAACUGAUGGAUGGACACGUGGGGCAUUAGCUAGUCGGUGGGGUAACGGCUCACCAAGGCCGCGAUGCCUAGCUGGUCGGAGAGGAUGACCGGCCACACUGGAACUUAGACACGGCCCAGCCUCCUACGGGAGGCAGCAGUAGGGAAUCUUCGGCAAUGGGCGAAAGUCUGACCGAGCAACGCCGCGUGAGUGAAGAAGGUUUUCGGAUUGUAAAGCACUGUUGUUGGGGAAGCGGUAUCUGCACAGAAAGCCACGGCUAACUACGUGCCAGCAGCCGCGGUAAUAC